CAUGCAGUCGAGCGGUAGCACAGAGAGCUUGCUCUCGGGUGACGAGCGGCGGACGGGUGAGUAAUGUCUGGGAAACUGCCUGAUGGAGGGGGAUAACUACUGGAAACGGUAGCUAAUACCGCAUAACGUCGCAAGACCAAAGUGGGGGACCUUCGGGCCUCAUGCCAUCAGAUGUGCCCAGAUGGGAUUAGCUGGUAGGUGGGGUAACGGCUCACCUAGGCGACGAUCCCUAGCUGGUCUGAGAGGAUGACCAGCCACACUGGAACUGAGACACGGUCCAGACUCCUACGGGAGGCAGCAGUGGGGAAUAUUGCACAAUGGGCGCAAGCCUGAUGCAGCCAUGCCGCGUGUGUGAAGAAGGCCUUCGGGUUGUAAAGCACUUUCAGCGGGGAGGAAGGCGGUGAGGUUAAUAACCUNNUCGAUUGACGUUACCCGCAGAAGAAGCACCGGCUAACUCCGUGCCAGCAGCCGCGGUAAUACGGAGGGUGCAAGCGUUAAUCGGAAUUACUGGGCGUAAAGCGCACGCAGGCGGUCUGUCAAGUCGGAUGUGAAAUCCCCGGGCUCAACCUGGGAACUGCAUUCGAAACUGGCAGGCUAGAGUCUUGUAGAGGGGGGUAGAAUUCCAGGUGUAGCGGUGAAAUGCGUAGAGAUCUGGAGGAAUACCGGUGGCGAAGGCGGCCCCCUGGACAAAGACUGACGCUCAGGUGCGAAAGCGUGGGGAGCAAACAGGAUUAGAUACCCUGGUAGUCCACGCUGUAAACGAUGUCGAUUUGGAGGUUGUGCCCUUGAGGCGUGGCUUCCGGAGCUAACGCGUUAAAUCGACCGCCUGGGGAGUACGGCCGCAAGGUUAAAACUCAAAUGAAUUGACGGGGGCCCGCACAAGCGGUGGAGCAUGUGGUUUAAUUCGAUGCAACGCGAAGAACCUUACCUGGUCUUGACAUCCACAGAACUUUCCAGAGAUGGAUUGGUGCCUUCGGGAACUGUGAGACAGGUGCUGCAUGGCUGUCGUCAGCUCGUGUUGUGAAAUGUUGGGUUAAGUCCCGCAACGAGCGCAACCCUUAUCCUUUGUUGCCAGCGGUCCGGCCGGGAACUCAAAGGAGACUGCCAGUGAUAAACUGGAGGAAGGUGGGGAUGACGUCAAGUCAUCAUGGCCCUUACGACCAGGGCUACACACGUGCUACAAUGGCAUAUACAAAGAGAAGCGACCUCGCGAGAGCAAGCGGACCUCAUAAAGUAUGUCGUAGUCCGGAUUGGAGUCUGCAACUCGACUCCAUGAAGUCGGAAUCGCUAGUAAUCGUAGAUCAGAAUGCUACGGUGAAUACGUUCCCGGGCCUUGUACACACCGCCCGUCACACCAUGGGAGUGGGUUGCAAAAGAAGUAGGUAGCUUAACCUUCGGGAGGGCGCUACCA
rnacentral:rRNA from 1 species